GAUGAACGCUGGCGGCGUGCCUAAUACAUGCAAGUCGAGCGAACAGACGAGGAGCUUGCUCCUCUGACGUUAGCGGCGGACGGGUGAGUAACACGUGGAUAACCUACCUAUAAGACUGGGAUAACUUCGGGAAACCGGAGCUAAUACCGGAUAAUAUAUUGAACCGCAUGGUUCAAUAGUGAAAGACGGUUUUGCUGUCACUUAUAGAUGGAUCCGCGCCGCAUUAGCUAGUUGGUAAGGUAACGGCUUACCAAGGCGACGAUGCGUAGCCGACCUGAGAGGGUGAUCGGCCACACGGGAACUGAGACACGGUCCAGACUCCUACGGGAGGCAGCAGUAGGGAAUCUUCCGCAGUGGGCGAAAGCUUGACGGAGCAACGCCGCAUGAGUGAUGAAGGUCUUCGGAUCGUAAAACUCUGUUAUUAGGGAAGAACAAAUGUGUAAGUACCUAUGCACGUCUUGACGGUACCUAAUCAGAAAGCCACGGCUAACUACGUG
rnacentral:rRNA from 1 species